UUUCGCAAUGCCCGAAAGGGUGACGAAGCGACGCCGCGUGGGUGAGGAAGGCCUUCGGGUUGUAAAGCCCUGUCAGGAGUUAAGAAAUGUAAGUGCGCUAAUAUCGCAUUUAUUUGACGAAGGCUCCAAAGGAAGCCACGGCUAACUCUGUGCCAGCAGCCGCGGUAAUACAGAGGUGGCAAGCGUUGUUCGGAAUUAUUGGGCGUAAAGAGCACGUAGGUGGGUUUGUAAGUCAGAUGUGAAAGCCUCCUGUUCAACGGGAGAAUUGCAUCUGAAACUACUGAUCUUGAGUGUAGGAGGGGAGAAUGGAACUUCUGGUGGAGCGGUGAAAUGCGUAGAUAUCAGAAGGAACGCCGGCGGCGAAAGCGAUUCUCUGGCCUAUUACUGACACUCAGUGUGCGAAAGCUAGGGGAGCAAACGGGAUUAGAUACCCCGGUAGUCCUAGCCGUAAACGAUGGGCACUAAGUAGAGGGGUUUUA
rnacentral:rRNA from 1 species